rnacentral:rRNA from 1 species
AUGAACGCUGGCGGCGUGCCUAAUACCUGCAAGUCGAGCGAACAGACGAGGAGCUUGCUCCUCUGACGUUAGCGGCGGACGGGUGAGUAACACGUGGAUAACCUACCUAUAAGACUGGGAUAACUUCGGGAAACCGGAGCUAAUACCGGAUAAUAUAUUGAACCGCAUGGUUCAAUAGUGAAAGACGGUUUUGCUGUCACUUAUAGAUGGAUCCGCGCCGCAUUAGCUAGUUGGUAAGGUAACGGCUUACCAAGGCAACGAUGCGUAGCCGACCUGAGAGGGUGAUCGGCCACACUGGAACUGAGACACGGUCCAGACUCCUACGGGAGGCAGCAGUAGGGAAUCUUCCGCAAUGGGCGAAAGCCUGACGGAGCAACGCCGCGUGAGUGAUGAAGGUCUUCGGAUCGUAAAACUCUGUUAUUAGGGAAGAACAAAUGUGUAAGUAACUAUGCACGUCUUGACGGUACCUAAUCAGAAAGCCACGACUAACUACGUG